rnacentral:rRNA from 1 species
CGGGGGGAGCAAGCGUUGUUCGGAUUUACUGGGCGUAAGGGCGGGUAGGCGGCCACCGCAAGUCAGUUGUGAAAUCUCCGGGCUUAACCCGGAAAGGUCAACUGAUACUGCGGGGCUAGAGUGCAGAAGGGGCAACUGGAAUUCUCGGUGUAGCGGUGAAAUGCGUAGAUAUCGAGAGGAACACCUGCGGCGAAGGCGGGUUGCUGGGCUGACACUGACGCUGAACUGCGAAAGCUAGGGGAGCGAACGGGAUUAGAUACCCCGGUAAUCCUAGCCUUAAACGAUGAAUGCUUGGUGUCUGGGGUUUUAUAGUCCCCGGGUGCCGUCGCUAACGCUUUAAGCAUUCCGCCUGGGGAGUACGGUCGCAAGACUG